rnacentral:piRNA from 1 species
UGGAAAACAAAGCUGAACAGAAAACCAGGGC